rnacentral:rRNA from 1 species
ACGAACGCUGGCGGCGUGCCUAAUACAUGCCAGUUGAGCGCUGAAGGUUGGUACUUGUACCAACUGGAUGAGCAGCGAACGGGUGAGUAACGCGUGGGGAAUCUGCCUUUGAGCAGGGGACAACAUUUGGAAACGAAUGCUAAUACCGCAUAAAAACUUUAAACACAAGUUUUAAGUUUGAAAGAUGCAAUUGCAUCACUCAAAGAUGAUCCCGCGUUGUAUUAGCUAGUUGGUGAGGUAAAGGCUCACCAAGGCGAUGAUACAUAGCCGACCUGAGAGGGUGAUCGGCCACAUUGGGACUGAGACACGGCCCAAACUCCUACGGGAGGCAGCAGUAGGGAAUCUUCGGCAAUGGACGAAAGUCUGACCGAGCAACGCCGCGUGAGUGAAGAAGGUUUUCGGAUCGUAAAACUCUGUUGGUAGAGAAGAACGUUGGUGAGAGUGGAAAGCUCACCAAGUGACGGUAACUACCCAGAAAGGGACGGCUAACUACGUG